AGGGAUAUAGCUCAGUGGUAGAGUGCCUGCUUAGUAAGCACGAGGUCUGGGUUCAAUCCCCAGUACUUCCA
rnacentral:tRNA from 1 species